rnacentral:rRNA from 1 species
UACGUAGGACCCAAGCGUUGUCCGGAUUUACUGGGUGUAAAGGGUGCGCAGGCGGAUAGGUAAGUCAGGGGUGAAAGUCUGCAGCUUAACUGUAGAAUUGCCUUUGAUACUGCUUAUCUUGAGUUUGGGAGAGGUUGAUGGAAUUCCAGGUGUAGCAGUGAAAUGCGUAGAUAUCUGGAAGAACACCAGUGGCGAAGGCGGUCAACUGGCCCAUAACUGACGCUCAGGCACGAAAGCGUGGGGAGCAAACAGG